CAGCAGGCGCGAAAACUUUACCAUGCGGGCAACCGUGAUAAGGAAACCCCGAGUGCCAGCACAGGCUGGCUGUCCGCCAGUUUAAAUAACUGGUGAAGAAAGGGCCGGGCAAGACCGGUGCCAGCCGCCGCGGUAAUACCGGCGGCUCGAGUGGUGGCCGCUAUUACUGGGCUUAAAGGGUCCGUAGCUUGAUAACUGGGUCCCUUGAGAAAUCCGCCAGCUUAACUGGCGGGCGUUCAGGGGAAACUUGUUUUCUAGGGACCGGGAGAGGUGAGGGGUACUGCCGGGGUAGGAGUGAAAUCCUGUAAUCCCGGUGGGACCACCUAUGGCGAAGGCNUCUCACCAGAACG
rnacentral:rRNA from 1 species